rnacentral:rRNA from 1 species
UACGAAGGGGGCUAGCGUUGUUCGGAAUUACUGGGCGUAAAGCGCGUGUAGGCGGGUCUUUAAGUCAGGGUGAAAUGCCAAGGCUCAACCUUGGAACUGCCUUUGAUACUGGAGAUCUUGAGUCCGGGAGAGGUGAGUGGAAUUGCGAGUGUAGAGGUGAAAUUCGUAGAUAUUCGCAAGAACACCAGUGGCGAAGGCGGCUCACUGGCCCGGUACUGACGCUGAGGUGCGAAAGCGUGGGGAGCAAACAGG